rnacentral:rRNA from 1 species
GAUGAACGCUGGCGGCGUGCCUAAUACAUGCAAGUCGAGCGAACAGAUGAGGAGCUUGCUCCUCUGACGUUAGCGGCGGACGGGUGAGUAACACGUGGAUAACCUACCUAUAAGACUGGGAUAACUUCGGGAAAACGGAGCUAAUACCGGCUCAUAUAUUGAACCGCAUGGUUCAAUAGUGAAACACGGUUUUGCUGUCACUUAUAGAUGGAUCCGCGCCGCAUUAGCUAGUUGGUAAGGCAACGGCUUACCAAGGCAACGAUGCGUAGCCGACCUGAGAGGAGGAUCGGCCACACGGGAACUGAGACACGGUCCAGACUCCUACGGGAGGCAGCAGUAGGGAAUCUUCCGCAAAGGGCGAAAGCCUGACGGAGCAACGCCGCGUGAGUGAUGAAGGUCUUCGGAUCGUAAAACUCUGUUAUUAGGGAAGAACAAAUGUGUAAGUAAAUAUGCACGUCUUGACGGUACCUAAUCAGAAAGCCACGGCUAACUACGUG